GCUAAAUUAAGAUACCUGUUGUACAAAGAGGAUGUUUCAAAAGCUAACGCAGGUGGCCUUAAGCACAGAAAAGUUGUUCCAAAAUGUGUCCGAGCAUUUGAAAACCCAGAAAACAGAAAUAGAUGUAUUGUUACAGUAUUUGAAAAGUACAAGUCACUUUGUCCAACAAAUGGCGGAAAGGAUUGUUUUUACCUUACACCUUUAAAACAUAUCAAAGAUGGACAAUGGUAUAGCAAAACUCCUAUUGGACACAACACUUUACAAGGCACUGUGAAACGGUUGUGCACAAGUAUUGGACUGACUGGAAAACGUACAAACCAUAGCCUCCGAGCCUCAGCAGCAACACGUCUUUAUAAUGCUGGCAUAGAAGAACAACGUGUGGCCGAAACAACAGGUCAUCGUAGUAAUGCAGUAAGAGUUUACAAAAGGACUUCUGCCGAUCAACAAAUAGAGGCAUCGAACAUCUUGUAUGGAUUAAGACCGUCAGAUGGAAGUAAGAAGGCAAAACCAUCAGCAGUUGCCGGUGCACCAGUUGGUAGUGCUUCGGUUGAAUGUUCAACAGACGAGAGUGACA